CAGGCUUAACACAUGCAAGUCGAGGGGCAGCAUGGUCUUAGCUUGCUAAGGCCGAUGGCGACCGGCGCACGGGUGAGUAACACGUAUCCAACCUGCCGUCUACUCUUGGACAGCCUUCUGAAAGGAAGAUUAAUACAAGAUGGCAUCAUGAGUCCGCAUGUUCACAUGAUUAAAGGUAUUCCGGUAGACGAUGGGGAUGCGUUCCAUUAGAUAGUAGGCGGGGUAACGGCCCACCUAGUCUUCGAUGGAUAGGGGUUCUGAGAGGAAGGUCCCCCACAUUGGAACUGAGACACGGUCCAAACUCCUACGGGAGGCAGCAGUGAGGAAUAUUGGUCAAUGGGCGAGAGCCUGAACCAGCCAAGUAGCGUGAAGGAUGACUGCCCUAUGGGUUGUAAACUUCUUUUAUAAAGGAAUAAAGUCGGGUAUGCAUACCCGUUUGCAUGUACUUUAUGAAUAAGGAUCGGCUAACUCCGUGCCAGCAGCCGCGGUAAUACGGAGGAUCCGAGCGUUAUCCGGAUUUAUUGGGUUUAAAGGGAGCGUAGAUGGAUGUUUAAGUCAGUUGUGAAAGUUUGCGGCUCAACCGUAAAAUUGCAGUUGAUACUGGAUAUCUUGAGUGCAGUUGAGGCAGGCGGAAUUCGUGGUGUAGCGGUGAAAUGCUUAGAUAUCACGAAGAACUCCGAUUGCGAAGGCAGCCUGCUAAGCUGCAACUGACAUUGAGGCUCGAAAGUGUGGGUAUCAAACAGGAUUAGAUACCCUGGUAGUCCACACGGUAAACGAUGAAUACUCGCUGUUUGCGAUAUACAGCAAGCGGCCAAGCGAAAGCGUUAAGUAUUCCACCUGGGGAGUACGCCGGCAACGGUGAAACUCAAAGGAAUUGACGGGGGCCCGCACAAGCGGAGGAACAUGUGGUUUAAUUCGAUGAUACGCGAGGAACCUUACCCGGGCUUAAAUUGCAGAUGAAUUACGGUGAAAGCCGUAAGCCGUAAGGCAUCUGUGAAGGUGCUGCAUGGUUGUCGUCAGCUCGUGCCGUGAGGUGUCGGCUUAAGUGCCAUAACGAGCGCAACCCUUGUUGUCAGUUACUAACAGGUUCCGCUGAGGACUCUGACAAGACUGCCAUCGUAAGAUGUGAGGAAGGUGGGGAUGACGUCAAACCAGCACGGCCCUUACGUCCGGGGCUACACACGUGUUACAAUGGGGGGGUACAGAGGGCCGCUACCACGCGAGUGGAUGCCAAUCCCAAAAACCUCUCUCAGUUCGGACUGGAGUCUGCAACCCGACUCCACGAAGCUGGAUUCGCUAGUAAUCGCGCAUCAGCCACGGCGCGGUGAAUACGUUCCCGGGCCUUGUACACACCGCCCGUCAAGCCAUGGGAGCCGGGGGUACCUGAAGUGCGUAACCAAGAGGAGCGCCCUAGGGUAAAACUGGUGACUG
rnacentral:rRNA from 1 species